GAUGAUGCCCAGCUUGCUGGGCGGAUUAGUGGCGAACGGGUGAGUAAUACGUGAGUAACCUGCCCUUGACUCUGGGAUAAGCCUGGGAAACUGGGUCUAAUACUGGAUACUACCUCUUACCGCAUGGUGGGUGGUGGAAAGGGUUUUACUGGUUUUGGAUGGGCUCACGGCCUAUCAGCUUGUUGGUGGGGUAAUGGCUCACCAAGGCGACGACGGGUAGCCGGCCUGAGAGGGUGACCGGCCACACUGGGACUGAGACACGGCCCAGACUCCUACGGGAGGCAGCAGUGGGGAAUAUUGCACAAUGGGCGGAAGCCUGAUGCAGCGACGCCGCGUGAGGGAUGACGGCCUUCGGGUUGUAAACCUCUUUCAGUAGGGAAGAAGCGAGAGUGACGGUACCUGCAGAAGAAGCGCCGGCUAACUACGUGCCAGCAGCCGCGGUAAUACGUAGGGCGCAAGCGUUGUCCGGAAUUAUUGGGCGUAAAGAGCUCGUAGGCGGUUUGUCGCGUCUGCUGUGAAAGCCCGGGGCUCAACCCCGGGUCUGCAGUGGGUACGGGCAGACUAGAGUGCAGUAGGGGAGACUGGAAUUCCUGGUGUAGCGGUGAAAUGCGCAGAUAUCAGGAGGAACACCGAUGGCGAAGGCAGGUCUCUGGGCUGUUACUGACGCUGAGGAGCGAAAGCAUGGGGAGCGAACAGGAUUAGAUACCCUGGUAGUCCAUGCCGUAAACGUUGGGCACUAGGUGUGGGGGACAUUCCACGUUUUCCGCGCCGUAGCUAACGCAUUAAGUGCCCCGCCUGGGGAGUACGGCCGCAAGGCUAAAACUCAAAGGAAUUGACGGGGGCCCGCACAAGCGGCGGAGCAUGCGGAUUAAUUCGAUGCAACGCGAAGAACCUUACCAAGGCUUGACAUUCACCGGACCGCCCCAGAGAUGGGGUUUCCCUUCGGGGCUGGUGGACAGGUGGUGCAUGGUUGUCGUCAGCUCGUGUCGUGAGAUGUUGGGUUAAGUCCCGCAACGAGCGCAACCCUCGUUCUAUGUUGCCAGCACGUGAUGGUGGGGACUCAUAGGAGACUGCCGGGGUCAACUCGGAGGAAGGUGGGGAUGACGUCAAAUCAUCAUGCCCCUUAUGUCUUGGGCUUCACGCAUGCUACAAUGGCCGGUACAAAGGGUUGCGAUACUGUGAGGUGGAGCUAAUCCCAAAAAGCCGGUCUCAGUUCGGAUUGAGGUCUGCAACUCGACCUCAUGAAGUCGGAGUCGCUAGUAAUCGCAGAUCAGCAACGCUGCGGUGAAUACGUUCCCGGGCCUUGUACACACCGCCCGUCAAGUCACGAAAGUUGGUAACACCCGAA
rnacentral:rRNA from 1 species